GACUACUGGGGUAUCUAAGCCUGUUUGCUCCCCACGCUUUCGUGCCUCAGCGUCAGUUCCGGCCCAGUAAGCCGCCUUCGCCACUGGUGUUCCUCCAAAUCUCUACGCAUUCCACCGCUCCACUUGGAAUUCCACUUACCUCUACCGUACUCAAGUUUAUCAGUUUCCAAUGACCCUUCACAGUUAAGCUGUGAAAUUUCACACCAGACUUAAUAAACCGCCUACGCACGCUUUACGCCCAAUAAUUCCGGAUAACGCUUGCCCCCUAUGUAUUACCGCGGCUGCUGGCACAUAGUUAGCCGGGGCUUUCUAGUUAGGUACCGUCACUUCUAGUGCAUUUCCUCACUAGCUCUUUCUUCCCUAACAACAGAACUUUACAAUCCGAAGACCUUCAUCAUUCACGCGGUAUUGCUCGGUCAGAGUUUCCUCCAUUGCCGAAAAUUCCCCACUGCAGCCUCCCGUAGG
rnacentral:rRNA from 1 species